UACAGAGGGGCAAGCGUUGUUCGGAAUUACUGGGCGUAAAGGGCGCGUAGGUGGCCUUCUAAGUUGAACGUGAAAUCCCUGGGCUCAACCCAGGAACUGCGUCCAAGACUGGGAGGCUUGAAUCCGGGAGAGGGAUGCGGAAUUCCAGGUGUAGCGGUGAAAUGCGUAGAUAUCUGGAGGAACACCGGUGGCGAAGGCGGCAUCCUGGACCGGUAUUGACGCUGAGGCGCGAAAGCCAGGGGAGCAA
rnacentral:rRNA from 1 species